UACGUAGGGUGCGAGCGUUGUCCGGAAUUACUGGGCGUAAAGAGCUCGUAGGCGGUUUGUCGCGUCUGCCGUGAAAGUCCGGGGCUCAACUCCGGAUCUGCGGUGAGUACGGGCAGACUAGAGUGCAGUAGGGGAGACUGGAAUUCCUGGUGUAGCGGUGAAAUGCGCAGAUAUCAGGAGGAACACCGAUGGCGAAGGCAGGUCUCUGGGCUGUAACUGACGCUGAGGAGCGAAAGCAUGGGGAGCGAACAGG
rnacentral:rRNA from 1 species